rnacentral:tRNA from 1 species
GCUGGCUGGCUCAGUUGGUAGAGCAUGUGACUCUUGAUCUUGGGGUCAUGAGUUCAAACCCCAUGUUGGGCG